rnacentral:rRNA from 1 species
GAUGAACGCUGGCGGCGUGCCUAAUACAUGCAAGACGAGCGAACGGACGAGAAGCUUGCUUCUCUGAUGUUAGCGGCGGACGGGUGAGUAACACGUGGAUAACCUACCUAUAAGACUGGGAUAACUUCGGGAAACCGGAGCUAAUACCGGAUAAUAUUUUGAACCGCAUGGUUCAAAAGUGAAAGACGGUCUUGCUGUCACUUAUAGAUGGAUCCGCGCUGCAUUAGCUAGUUGGUAAGGUAACGGCUUACCAGGGCAACGAUGCAUAGCCGACCUGAGAGGGUGAUCGGCCACACUGGAACUGAGACACGGUCCAGACUCCUACGGGAGGCAGCAGUAGGGAAUCUUCCGCAAUGGGCGAAAGCCUGACGGAGCAACGCCGCGUGAGUGAUGAAGGUCUUCGGAUCGUAAAACUCUGUUAUUAGGGAAGAACAUCUGUGUAAGUAACUGUGCACAUCUUGACGGUACCUAAUCAGAAAGCCACGGCUAACUACGUG